rnacentral:rRNA from 1 species
UGGGGAAUAUUGCACAAUGGAGGGAACUCUGAUGCAGCGACGCCGCGUGAACGAAGAAGGCUUUCGAGUCGUAAAGUUCUUUUAUAUGGGAAGAUAAUGACGGUACCAUAAGAAAAAGCCCCGGCUAACUACGUGCCAGCAGCCGCGGUAAUACAUAGGGGGCUAGCGUUGUCCGGAAUCACUGGGCGUAAAGGGUUCGCAGGCGGAAAUGCAAGUCAGGUGUAAAAGGCAGUAGCUUAACUACUGUAAGCAUUUGAAACUGCAUAUCUUGAGAAGAGUAGAGGUAAGUGGAAUUUUUAGUGUAGCGGUGAAAUGCGUAGAUAUUAAAAAGAAUACCGGUGGCGAAGGCGACUUACUGGGCUCAUUCUGACGCUGAGGAACGAAAGCGUGGGUAGCAAACAGG